UGUUUUCUCAGAAAGAGCUAUGUCUCAAUGAUAUUGGAUAACUACUCGGCAAAUAUAUGCUGAAUCCAGUUAUGGAAAUAAAAUAGCCACCUUGUAUUUCUUAAAGACAGCCUGGAUUAGUUUUCAGUGCUUACUAAGCAGAGAAAAAUGGACAAAACAGCUAUCAUGCUGGGGUGUGUAAGGCAGCCUCAGAUGUAGAAGGUAGGUACUGAGGUCCUUCUCAAGAUCCAGGAGCCAAGACACACCUGCUGAGAGGUACAAAGGCAAACAUUCACUCCUUGUCCUGUUCCAGAUGUGGUGGAAGCUGAAAGUCAGUAUUUGACUGACAAGUGGUGGGAACCAAUAUAGAUUACGAAUAAUUUGAUUCAGGAAGCAAGACAUACAAAAUGAGCUGCCCAUUCUCUAAACAAGGAUCCUCUCUCUACCCUGCUCUGGGUCUUGGCAGAAUGACUUUCACAGACUGUAUCAACUGACUCCCUGUCACCUGGCUUCCUAGAGGGUUCAGUCCAUGGGAAGAUCGGCAGAAGAUUGGGGCCCUUCCUGGCUCCCUACCUACACUUCCACAGAUAGCCCUUAAUUAGUUUCUUUUCAGUCACCCCUAUUGAGUGUGUUCUCCAUUUCCUCUAGGGAUCUGACUGAUGCACACACAAAAAACACUGUGACAAGUCCGUGACAGCCUGGGCGGUGGUCGGGGUGGUAAGUGCUAUUGGAGUCGAGGGCAGAUAGAAGCCACUAUGGACCAGGGAAGGCAGGUGGACUUGAUCUGUGACCUGAAGGGGGCUGGGGUUUAGGUAACAGUUUGGGUAGCAGUAAGGCCCUGGGGUUUAGGAGGGAAUUUAAAAGUGAGUAUCCCUGACAAAGGGUGAGAGCUGGAGUAUACACUGAGUAUUCACCACUGUCAGUUAGAGUAACUUGAUGCACGUAGAUGAACAUUUGUUGUGUGUGGGGAGCAGAGGAUGAGGUUGGAAGAGCUGAGUGGGAUGAAAUUAUGAAAUGUCUCGAAGAGUGGGGAAGCACCAUGGGGAAUCAAUGAAUAUUAUUAUCAUCAUAAUUAUACUUUUUCCAACCUUAUAAUUUUUAUAGCAGUAACAAUUAUGAUACAACCAUGUAACAUUUACAGGGUAUUCAUCAUUUUCAGAGCACCGUCAUGAUGUUUAAUACCAGGUAAUUGCCUUUAUCAUUACUCUUUUCUUCCAUGCCACCCCCAAAUACAAUUCUGAUCCUUUAGAUCUGAAAAAAUAUGUAAAACUGACACUAAUUAACCCUCCCUUCUCAUGUAAAACACUCCAAUCAUAUGGAAUAAUUUACUCUGGAGCAACAAAGGGGAUGAUAGCCUUACUUUUUCUUUUUAUCAAAAGCUAAAGAUUUUAAAAAUUGCAUUAAAAAAAGGAAGAAAUGUUUCUUCCAGGGCAUCAGAAAAUGACAGAACAGAGCAAAAUUUGGAGGUCUAGGACUGCUUAUACUUCUCAACAUGGCAGUGUUCAAGUGCUGAAUUAUUCACUGAAGCACUGACGUCAUUACAGUCUUUCAGGGAUCCCAGGACUCCAAAUACUGCUGAAGUCAGAUGGACAACAAAAGGUCUCUUAGAAUGAUCCAUCAAGGAAAACACAGGCAUCAGCAAAUUGUUCCUAAGCAACGUCUGGUUAAUUCUAUGACAAAAAUACAAAGAAGCUGAAAACUGUUUACUCCAACUAGCACUGCAGUGUGGCACAAAGAAAAAUAUAUGGACUUUGGAAUUCAAUGGCUUGAGUUUUAAUCUUGAUUGUUCCAUUUAAUAUCUUUGUGAACUUGGGUCAGUUUCUUAACUCAAGUGUCAAUUUCUUUAUUUAGGUAAUGGUUAUUAACUACUUGACAUUCCAGACUCUUUGGGGGAAUUUAUUUAUUUUUAUUUAUUUUAUUUUAUUUUUUUGAGAUGGGGUCUCACUCUGUUGCUUAGGCUGGAGUGCAGUGGCACAAUCUCGGCUCACUGCAACCUCCACCUCCCAGGUUCAAGGGAUUCUGUCAUGUCAGCCUCCCAAGUAGCUGGGAUUACAGGUGCAUGCCAUCACGCCCAGCUAAUUUUUCUAUUUUUUGAUAGACAGGGGGUUUCACUAUGCUGACCAGGCUGGUCUCAAACUCCUGUGAUCCACCUGUCUCGGCCUCCCAAAGUGCUGGGAUUACAGGCAUGAGCCACUGUGCCCAGCCAGAUAUGACAGGGUUUCUCAGACAUUUAUGUGCACAGGCCAAAGAUCCAGCUUUUUUUUUUCUUUUUAUUGCAUUUUAACUGCAAAGAUUUUCCCGUGGUACAGACUCACUCUCUGAAACAAACUGUCCCAAGCUGUUUUGUUAAGGGUUCAUCGCUCCUGGCAGUUUGGCCUGAAGGAGGCACUGUAGGAGAAUUUUCUCCCUGCUGUGAAUCACAGCUAUGGAAUUACAGACAGCUUUCAUUUCUAAAGGCCGUCUUGAAGAAAAUUAAACCAGAAAGAUCAAGAAAGGCUGGAGUGCAAUGGUGUGAUGUUGGCUCACUGCAACCUCCAACUACCAGGUUCAAGCAAUUCUCCUGCCUCAGCCUCCCGAAUAGCUGGGACUACAAGCGCAUGCCACCAUGCCAGGCUAAUUUUUGAAUUUUUAGUAGACACACGGUUUCGCCUUAUUGGCCAGGCUGGUCUCAAACUCCUCACCUCGGGACAUCCACUCGGCUUGGCCUCCCUAAAUGCUGGGAUUACAAGCAUGAGCCACUGCGCCUGACCAGUUUUUAAAUAAAGCACUUUAAAUGAGUUAUUCACAUAUCCCUUGUAUUUAUAUAGGGUACAGCUUUUUGUUUUAAAGCUGUUUGAAUAGUUCUCCAAGUUUCUGAGACUCAACUGCUUUUUUGGCUUAUGAAAUUGCCAUUAAUCAAGAUGCAUUCAUAAGGUAUCAAUUCCCUGAAAUGUAGGUAUUUAAUCCAUUCCAUCUAUCCAUGCAUCUAUCCAUCCAUCCAAUACUUUUUGUUUAAAGUCCCUAAAAUAACCAACCAGCCUUUAUAUGACUGAAUUUGAGAACCUAUGGCAAUUAACAUGAUAAAUGUCACACAGAUCCUUAUUGUUUAUUAAGCAACUGAAAAUAGAAAAGCUCAGGGGAAAAUAAUACUUGUGAAUGUCAGGGAUUUUGCCAUGGAGAGAUUUCACCAACCAUAUGCAACCGCAAAAUAUAGAAUGUAAAACCCAGGCACAAUAAGCUCAUUCUAGGCUUAGUGUGUCCAGAAUUGGUGGGUUCUUGGUCUCACUGACUUCAACAAUGAAGCCGUGGACCCUCGCGGUGAGUGUUAACAGUUCUUAAAGGCGGCGUGUCCGGAGUUUGUUCGCUCUGAUGUCCGGAUGUGUUCGGAGUUUCUUCCUUCUGGUGGGUUCGUGGUCUCACUGGCUCAGGAGUGAAGCUGUGGACCUUCGUGGUGAGUGUUACAGCUCUUAAGGUGGCUCGUCUGGAGUUUCUUCCUCCCGGUGGGUUCGUGGUUUUGUUGGCUUCAGGAGUGAAGCUGCAGACCUUCGCGGUGAGUGUUACAGCUCAUAAACGCAGUGUGGACCCAAAGAGUGAGCAGCAGCAAGAUUUAUUGCAAACAGCAAAAGAACAAAGCUUCCACAGUCUGGAAGGGGAUGACUGGGUUGCCACUGCUUGCUCGGGCAGCCUGCUUUUAUUCUCUUAUCUGGCCCCACCCCAUCCUGCUGAUUGGUAGAGCCAAGUGGUCUGUUUUGACAGGGCGCUGAUUGGUGCAUUUACAAUCCCUGAGCUAGACACAAAGGUUCUCCACGUCCCCACUAGAUUAGCUAGAUAAACAGCGUCCACACAAAGGUUCUCCAAGUCCCCACCAGAGUCAGGUACCCAGCUGGCUUCACCCAGUGGAUCCUACACCGGGGCUGCAGGUGGAGCUGCCUGCCAGUCCUGCAUCGUGUGCCCGCCCUCCUCAGCCCUUGGGUGGUCGAUGGGACUGGGUGCCGUGGAGCAGGGGACGGCGCUUGUCGGGGAGGCUCCUGCCACACAGGAGCCCAUGGAGGGGAGAGGCUCAGGCACGGCGGGCUGCCGGUCCCGAGCCCUGCCCCGCGGGGAGGCAGCUAAGGCCCAGCGAGAAAUCCAGCGCAGUGCCGGUGGGCCGGCACUGCCGGGGGACCCAGUACACCCUCCGCAGCCACUGGCCCGGGUGCUAAGCCCCUCAUUGCCUGGGGGGGCAGGGCUGGCCGGCCGGCCGCUCCGAGUGUGGGGCCCACCAAGCCCACGCCCACCCGGAACUCCAGCUGGCCCGCAAGCGCAGCCCCGGUUCCUGCUCCGCCUCUCCCUCCACACCUCCCCGCAAGCUGAGGGAGCCCGCUCCCACCUUGGCCAGCCCAGAAAAGGGCUCCCACAGUGCAGCAGUGGGCUGAAGGGCUCCUCAAGUGCCGCCAAAGUGGGAGCCCAGGCAGAGGAGGCCCCGAGAGUGAGCGAGGGCUGUGAGGGCUGCCAGCACGCUGUCACCUCUCAUUAGGACCUGCAAAUUGGUUUCACCUGUGUGUGGAAUCAUCCCAGGACUGGAUUCCAAUAUGAGGAGAGAAAUGGGUUAUUUCACUGAAAGGUAUGACUGAGUUAGACUGAAGAAACUCUUAUAUGACACUGUACUAUGGCUUUAAUCAGCAUUAGUGUUAGGAUAACAUUUUGUUUAGAGAGAUAUUGAUGGUAAAAAAGAAAAGGAUUUGAACUCCAGUUCACCAUUUCCUAAGCAAGACCUUGAGCUAUUCAUUCACUCUAUGUAGUCAUUUAAUAAAUAUUUAUUGAGCCCUAUAUAGGCCAAGCACUCUGUGAGGUGAUGGAAAUUCUCCUGCCCUCAAAAAGUAACAGUAAUUAUUAUUUGCAAUCUACCUCCCUAAGGCAUAACAAUGCCUAUCUUUCAGAGUUAUGUGUAAUAGGAUACUAAGUGGAUUUUUUUUUGUCUCAUAGUUGUCUACUUGGCUCCAAAGUUAGAGACAAAUAGGUGAAAAUUAGGAGACAAAUAGAUGAUUGGUAAACACCAGUCAUUAAGAGGCAAAUUCAUUCUGCUACUCCGCUUACCACUGUACUCACUAAUCUUGAGGGGACUACUGAAUUGUAAAUCUUCAGCCUCAGAAAGGGUUCUGUGUCUUUUCCUUUUACUCUUUCUCAGUGCUCCUUAUGCAUAAUCCAAUGGAGUAUUCCAAGGAAAAUAUUUUUAAUGACUGGGGGUUGCCUGCAAUAAGUUGAGCCUGAAAUCUCAUUUUUCAGUUGGAUACCUACUCAUGUCAUGGAUCUGUAGUAUUCUUUUUUCUUACUCCAGCAGUAGGAAAUAAUAUAGGGACAGAAUUCAGGAGAGAGAAAAUGAGUAAUAGGGCAAUGAGGCACACUCCCAUUGUCUGGUAGAAAAAAGAUGCAUGAGUCUUCCGUAUGUCAAGUAGAUACUACAAAGGUACCAGGCUUGAACUAUUGUGAAGCAAGUUCAUCCUAGACUGUGACUUACUAAGAGAAGAGACCCCAGCAGCAAAAGCCUGUAAGGUGAGUUAUGUAGGAAAUAAGGAGACUGGAAGAGGUCUACAGGAGUCGAUUUCCUAUGAAAGGAGGUUGUGCAAUGAAGAGACUGCCUGCUACAUGGAGGACAGAGGUCACAAAACAACUGGUAAGCAAAACAUUUCUGCUGACUUUUGAGAAUUCUCUCUUCUUCCUCAACAUAGAAAGGGCUCAGAAAAAGCAAGAGGGAGGGGAAAGAGUCAAGAGUAGCCUCCUCUCACUGCCACUGUGUCCUGGGGAGGAGAUGGACAUUUGAAUUGGACAAGAAACUGAAGUGGAUGGCACUGGAUUGCCUCUUUUCCACUCUUUUCCAACCUAAAAAGGUCACAAAAUUGGCAUUUGCUGGAGAAGCCAUGAAGUCUUGGGAAAGGGAGAUUCAACAGAGCAUGUUACAGCCACAAUAGGAGAAAAAAACCUUCUCAGGUUUGAACCCUGCUGAGUUCACAGUUUUCAAUAAAUUGCUGACAAAUGCAAGGUGUUCAGACAAGUAGGUAGUGCUCCACAAAUGGUAGAUAUUAUUCUAGUCACCUAGAGAGAAUAAAUGUUUAGAAAAUGUCUACGUAUGUUUUGCUAUCAAAGAGCAAAUAAGAUAUUCAAUUUGUAUUUUUGCUUUAGAUAAAGCAUAAUGCCCUUAUUAUGCCUUCAAGUCUUCAUUUCCCCCACGAAGGGAUGUUUUUCUGUGUUAUUUGACCAUAUGCCUUUUGCUGCGCUGGGCAUUUGCCUUCUUUGACCUUUUCUGGACAUUCCCACUUUACCCGCCAGGGAUUGAGGAAAUUACAAAGGUCAUCUAAUCAUCUAGUCUCGUUUCCAAUUUGGUUAAGAUAAAAUAUUAUUUAAUUACUAGAAAAAUACUUUGUUAUUAAAAUCAAAGUGUCUUGUGCUGGUUUGCAAACAAAGUAAUUUCUACACGCUUAUAACACAAAGAGGAGACCAGAUGUGGUGAAGUAGAAGAGAGAGGACACUGGCUUUGGAGCCAGGAGACCCAGAGCGGCUCCCAGUAAUGUGAUAUUUUAUGUGUUUUCCAACCCCAUGCAGCAUCCAUUGCCUCACCUGUAAAAUAGGGGUUUUGACAAGAACCACAUCGAGUUAUUGUGAAGAGUAAAUAGACGAUUAUAGAAAACAUGUCACACAGUGCUAGGCACAUAGAUGAAGCUUAAGGAAUAGCUGUUGUCCCGUUUCCAAGGUUGCAGAGUCAGAAGACACCCCUAAGAAGACAUAAAGUACUGUUGUUCAGAAGGAAGGCAUUGGGAAAGUCAAAAGGACACCAGAAAUAGUGAACUCAACAUUCAUUUGCACAUUUGACCAAGGCUGGAGCAGUGGAAAGAGAACUAUGCACAAGGAUGAGGAGAAUAAUUGUGACUGUGGGACAGGGCCCCAGGAGAGAGGUAUAGCAGACUGGCCUUGAAAAGCCUGCAGCUGCUUCAGGAAGGCAAAGCAUGCUUGGAAAAAAUGCUGACUGAAGUAAGGCAGAACCUGGAGGGUGGGUGGAUACUCCAUAACUGUAUUCAAAUUGGGCACUCUCUUGUUGUAAAGCCUUUGCAUAAGUGCAACUGAGAAAAUAUAUGGUAAAAAAAAAAAGUCUAUGUUCUGACCAGCUCGAGGAUGGGGGAAAAUCAUGCAUAAUAUGUGCAAACUAUGUGAAGAAAAGUACAAGUUAAUAUGAUCACAAAAAUAUUCAGAAAAACACAGAGUGAAGGAGGUAAGACGAGAGGUAAUGAAAUAAUUAGUGAAGUAUGGGUUCCUGUGCAAGGGAAUAUCUUGAGACAGAUUUUUGAAGAGAAGUUAGAUGUGGGCUGAUGAAGAGGAACUGUCACUCCACAUUGAGGGAGUGGUCUCUGCAAAGGUGGUAGCUUAGCUUGGGUUCCUAAGAAAAGAGUCUGAGGUUAAUCUUAUGAGCACAUGCUUUAUUGUAGAGUACAAGUCCAGAGAAGCAAGUGUGACAAAAAAGGAAGGAUAGGAAACAAAAAGUCAUGUUAUUGAGCUCUGGUUAUAGGAAAUUUAAAUGGUUACUCAGUUACACUGAACAUCUCCAGAGAGAUUCAUGAAUUCACGGCACCUUAGAAAAAUUCUUUGGUGGAAAGAAGGGCGAACAAUCUAUCUACUGGCUUCUUUCCAUCUCCUGUUUCUCAUGCCUACUUGACCUAACAAAGUGUUAACUUGCACAUCUUCCCUCCAGACAGCUGCUGGGUUAGUAACUAACUCCAACUUAGUUACUGGAGCUGCUGCUGUUUCUGCUGUGAUAAGAGGUAUGGAGGCCAUGUCAAAGCCUGGCUUUUUCUCCCCAGGAUUUGCAGGGAAGGCUGCAAAAACCAGGGUGAGAGAUGCUGAGUCUUCUGAGUUUUAUGACCAUUGGAAUGGCAUGAGUCAAUCAACCAUUGCUGAGCUCCUCUGAUCAGGACUCUGGGCAAGCAACAGUCUGGGGCUGAGGGUAGAUGAGGCCCAGGAGGAUCUGAGGAAAUGUCCAAGAUAGGUCUGGAAGAGUGAGGAAAAUGGAUGAUGAAAACUUAGCAUGUCUAGAAGGAGUGAGGUCUCAACAAAUGUGUAACUUAGUGUAUGUAGUAUUGGAGUGAUGUUCUAGGAAUGGCCAAAAGCUAGGAUUCCAUAGGCUGAUUUGAAUGAAUUUGAGAUGUGUGCCCAUUUUGUUGUGCUUAUUAUGGCUGAUCCUGUAGUUUUAGCAAUUCAGUGAUCAUCUCAACUUUCUUCCUAAACAGCUGAGCCUGGAAAGCUAAAACUAACACUUUUCAGACUUCAAUGAAAUUAGUGUUCUGAAUAUGAUUCAGGUUCUACCAAAGAGAUGUAUUCAUGAGAACUGAAUUUAGAACUGAAGGAAGUGGGGAGAGAAGCAUGAGCUGUGAUGGUAGUAGCUGCUGGGUAAGUGGCCAGCAGCCACUAUGGUACUUCCUAUCAUGGCAGAGUCAACUGGUCUCAGAGGUGCCCAGUUGUGUCUUGUGGCUUUGGACAUUUCUCCUGGAUGCUCAACCUAGAGACUGUUUAUCUCUCAAGUGAUUUGUAAACCUUUUAAUGCUCUGUGAAAAAAAAUUUUAAUCCCUUUUGCCUAAACCAGCUAGAGUGGAUUCUAUUCUGAGGAAAUGACCAUAUUUUAAAGGUUUGUUGGAGAAGUCUGGGUGGGGGGUGGAGAGAAAGAAAUAUAAAAAUAGAGAUAGAAAUAGCUAAAUGGAGGGUAGAGAUAUUAAUUCUGGCUCUUAGAUGGUGGGCAACUCACUAUCCACAAUUAUUAAAUCUGAUUGUUCCUCUCAGCACACAUUCAUAUAGAUACCAUGUAUGAAGAAUACAGGAGAACCCUGAAGGUAUCCAAAUGAAAUUGACUUCCCAGUCAUCAUUAAACAUUUAGAGAACUUCAACAAAACAUGCUCCAUGUUAAGGACUUUAGCACCUAAAAAUAAGGAAAGAUGCAGCUUUUGAUUUUAAACAUUUAUUGUUUUCAAGGGAAAGCCUUCUGUAUCCCUGCACACUUUAAGCAGGUAAAUGUUAGAUUGCUGCAUCAGCUCAUGGACUCUGCAUAACUUCUGAUGUCCUUCUGGUAAACCUUGAUCCCUUAUUGCAUCAUGUGACCUCCUCUCCCCCAGCUCUAGCUCUGCCUAGCAGGUAAGUAAAAGGUUAUUUUCAAGAAGCUGCAGUUAGAUAAGUAAAUAACAACUUGUACCUAAUUUCAUAUUUUAUCUGAAGGUGUGCGGAAGGUAAUAGACCCAGAAACAUUAAAUAACUGGUUUACAUCUAAAUGGUUUUUGACUAAAACCUUAAAGCUAGACCUGUCAAAGGGCUCAACAGAAUAAAAAGUGUUUCCCUUUGAAGAAUUCUGUGUCCUUAGAAGGCAUUUAGGUUAUGGUAGAAACGGGUUUUCUUUCAAUAACUUUAAGAGGAAAAAUUACUUAAGACUGGUAACUUAAGACUGACACUAGGUGAAAGAAGCAAAGGUGACAUUUGAAGUAAUCAAUUAUCAGAGGCUUUUUAAUAACAUUCCAGUGACCAGUCUUGAUGUCUUGAUAUUUCUCACCAAAAGCAAGGAUAGUUAUUUGCGGAAAUCUCAACCCAAAGCAAACUUAUAUUGGCUAUGCUGAAAUAAUUUAAAAGAUAUGAACUGUUUUCUACAUCCGUACUAUUUUAAGUGUCAUCAGCAACAUUCAUAUUACCCAGGAAACUGUUAGAAAUUCAGUCUUAGGCCCCACCCUAGACUUACUGAAUCAAUAUCUGCAUUUUGACAUUGCCAGGUCAUUUUUAAGCACAUUAGAGUUUCUAAUGUCCUGUUCUAGAUGCUGUAAAAUUAUUCAUAAGGUCACUUGUUGAAAUGAUUGCAUUCAGCACUUAAAUAUGUUAUGGACAAUGUCCAUUAAGGAUCAGCAAAUACUUAUUUGUGUCCAUAUUAGUGAUAUUAUUAUAUGAGUUUUUAAUUUAUGUUAUAUGGGUUAUUAAUUUAGUCAAUGUUUCUUGUUCUAAGAAAGGGCUCUGAUUUUAAACCAUUUUAUCCAAUGGUUUUCUUGAGCUUCCCAAAGUGGUAAACAGUCUCUGUUUUCUUCUUAUAUGUUCUUGUAGCUAAUUGUUUUAAUCAUCUUUUUGUUGUUACUUCAGCCUCAGUGAUGGGUUACUAUUUAAGGAUUCUCUAAAAGCCUUCUAAUAUACCCUCAAUGUGGUUCUGGCAGACUCUGUCUACCUGACAGCCAUUUCCACAUUCUCCUUUGUUUACAGAGCCACAGUUUGGUUGUGUUGUAGUGUUUUUAUUCCUAGUCUAAGAAAAUCAUGAUGAUCUUAUGUUCCUUUGCCAUAUACUUAAUUUUUCAUUUUUGUUUAUAGCUGAGGGUGAUCACAUGACUGAGAUCUGACCAAAAUGGGGUUUAAGUAGAGGCUUAUGAGAAAGUCUUUGUUCCAUAAUAAAACAGACAGGGAUGAAAAAGAUAGCUUAUUGGCUCCUGUGAUCCCUUCUUUCAGCCUACACACAGACAGGAUGCUUGGUGCUAUGACAGCCAUCUUGAAGCCAUGAAAUCAUAAAAACAAGGACAAAAAGUCAACUUACUGAGAAUGGUAGAGAGGAAGAAUAGAAAGACCCUAUUCCUAGUGAUAGCGUUAAGUCACUACUUAUGUCCUGAACUCUGUAUCCAGAGUUUAGAUUCUGUAAAAACAAAGCAAAAAAGAAAACAGAAACAACCCUAUCUAUUUAUGUUAUUAUUAAUUUACUUUGUUAUUUGCUGCUGAAAGCGUUCCUAACUGGUAUAAAUAAGAAGGACUAAAGAACUUACCCUCGUCAGAGAUUUACUCUGUAAGUGAGCAUGGUUGUUGAAUAUGUGACCAUUCUAAGUAGUGAGGCAACACAGAGUGGAAGAAUAUCUGGAUUUUGUUAUUGGCUCCUGUACUUCUCAGCUGUGUACAAAGCAAACCUUGCUUUACAGGAACUUUGGCUCUCUAUUUACAAGGUCAGUGUCAACUCCUAGUGCCUUUUUUUUAUUUUUCUGGCAAAAGGGAAAUGGGCUAAGUUCUAGGAAUUUUCCUUUAUGUGAGUAUAUGAGGUUUUCUAAAACUUUCUAGGGAGUCAAAUGUUUUCCUUGCUAUUAGUUGCUUCUGAUAAAUUAGGUUUAAUCACAGUAUAUUCCUAGUAGUAGGUUUUUGAUUUUUGAAAUGGUGAUUUUUCUUUCUCUUUUGGGGAUGAAAAAGAAAAAUGAAAGCUUAAUGAUAUUUUCUUUCAAAGCAACCGUCUUCUUUUUCAAGAUAAACAAAAUAUUAUGCUAAAUUGAAACCAAUUUUAUGAAAUUAUGUUUUAAAAAAGGAUUUCAAAAAGCCACAUCUAAGUCUUUUGAGGAAAAUGGAAACAUUAUAAGAAAAAUAACAAAGUAAUAUUUGUAGCAUUUUAGGUCUAGUAGACUUAGGUAAAAUUUAAUGCACGCUUUUCAAACUGGUUGGCUUUAAUAGUCCACAGAUAUCCUGGCUGAAUCCACCAAGGUUUUUAACAAUUUGAAUUUGUUACCAAUAGUUCCUUUUUUCUCAUCUCACCUUACACUGUCUCCAUGUCCUGAUGUGCUUCAACUCAGAAGCACUGGAACUCUCUUGAUACCAAAGUUGUGUUAUGGUGUGUGAUAAGGUUGAUGAUGGUGGGUGUUAUGGGUUGAAUUGCAUCCCCCAAAAAAGAUAUUGAAGUCCUACCCUCCAGGACCUGUGAUUGUCACCUUAUUUGGAAAUAAGGUCUUUAUAGAUGAUCAAGUUAAGAUGAGGUCAUUGGGGUGGGCCUUAAUCUAAUAUGACUGGGUUCAUAUAAGAUAGAAUAGAAACGGAAGGAAGAGAAGAUGGUGUGAAUACACAGGGAGAGCACCGUCGACAAGUGAAGGAACUCCUGAGGCUCCUGAUGCUACGAGAGAGAGACAUGGAAGACAUUCUCCCUCACAGCCCCCAGAAAGAAUCAACUUCUCUCAUACUUUAAUUUUGGACUCCAAACUCUCAGAACAAUACAGUUCUGUUGUUUAAGCCACCCAAUUUGUGCUUUCUUACAGCAGUCCCUGGAAAGUAAUACAGUGGAGGAGGACCCCCAUGAUUACAUUCUGAGAGAGGAGUUCCUAAGCAUUGCAGCAUGAAAAGCAGUGCUUAAAAGCUUAAGCAAUAUUUUUCAAAAUAUUGACCUAUCUCAGUAGGAACUGAGAUAGGAAACAAAUCUGAAUGACAGAAUACAUUUCAAACUUUCAAAAUUGUGUCUUCCUCUUACUGUGGGUCCUUACCCCUGAACGAAGUUCAUCACACCUGGCUUCACGUUGCAGGGUAUAUUUUUUUGAUGCCUGCCUUAUCUGACUUCCAGUCAUGCCCUGGAAUUUGAGUGUCUCUCAAAUGUAAAAAUCAAAAAGUGUAUUGUAAAAAUGUCUGUACUAUGCAAAGUAAUAUACAGAUUCAAUGCAAUUUCUAUCAAGAUUCCAAUGACAUUUUUCACAGAAAUAGAAAAAAAUCUAAAAUUUAUAUGAAAACAUCAAAGACAUCAAAUAGCCAAAACAAUCUUGAACAAAAAGAACAAAGCUGGAAGCAUUACACUAUUUGAUUUCAAAAUGUACUGCGAAGCUAUAGCAAUCAAAACAACAUGGUACUGGCACAAAAACAGAAAUAUGGACCAAUGAAAUUGAACAGAGAGCCCAGAAAUAAAUUCACCCAUUUACAGUUAACUGAUCUUCAACAAAAGUGCCAAGAUCAUACAACUGGGAAAGGACAGUCUCUUCAAUAAAUGGUGCUGGAAAAACUUGAUAUCCACAUGCAGAAGAAUGAAAUUGGACCCUUAUUUCAUCCCAUAUACAAAAAUCAACAUAAAAUGGAUUAAAGACUUAAAUGUAAGACCAGAAACUGUAAAACUAUUAGAAGAAAACCUAGAGACAUUGACACUGGUCUUGGCAAAGAUUUUUUGGAUAUGACCCCAAAAGCACAGGCAGCAAAAGCAAAACUAGACAAAUGGAAUUACAUCAAACCAAAAAAAUAGCUUCACAGCAAAAGAAGCAAUCAACAGAGUGAAGAGAAAACCUAUGCAAUGGGAGAAAAUAUAUGUAAAUCAUACGUGAAAUAAGGAACUAAUAUCCAAAAUAUAUAAGAAAUUCAAACAUCCGAACAGCAAAAAAAAAAAAAAAAAAAGGAAAAUUUAAAAAUGAGCAAAAGAUCUGAACAGACAUUUCUGCAAACAGAAUGUAUGAAAGGCCAACAGGUAUAUGAAGAGAUGCUCAACAUCACUAAUCAUUGGAGAAAUGCAAAUUAAAACCACAAUUAGAUAUCUAUCAUCUCACCUCUCUAAGAUAAGCAUUUGCAAAAAUGUGGAGAAAAGAGGACCCUUGCACGCAGUUGGUGGAAAUGUACAUUAGUAUAGCCUCAUGGAAAAUAGUAUGGAGGUUGCUCAAAAAAUUAAAAAUAGGACUACCAUAUGAUCCAGCAAUCUCACUUCUGAAUAUGUAUCCAAAGGAAAUGAAAUCAGUAUGGUAAAAAGAUAUCUGCAUUCCCAUAUUCAUUGCAACAUUACUUGCAAUAGCCAAGAUAGGGAAUCAACUGAUGAAUGAAUAAAGAAAAUGUGGUAUACAUAAUAUAAUGGAAUACCAUUUUGCCUUAAAAAGGAGGAAAUCGGGUCAUCUGCAACAAGCUAAGUGAAAAAAACCAGGCACAGAAGGACAAAUACUGUAUGAUCUCACUUACAUGUGGAAUUUUAAAAAGUUUAACUCAUAGAAGCAAAGGGUAGAAUAGUGGUUGCCAGGGACUGGGGCUAGGGGUGGGAGCAGGGAAUGGGGAGUUAUGGUCAAAGACUACAAAGUUUCAAAUAGACAGGAGGAAUAAGAUCUGGUGAACUAUAGUACAGCAUGUGACUAUAGUUAAUAAUAUUGUAGACUUGAAAGUUGCUAAGAGAGUAGAUUUAAAUGUUCUCAUCACCAAAAAUGAUAAAUAUAUGCAGAAGUGACAGAUAUAUUAAUUUAAUUGUUCCACUGUGUAUACAUAUAUCAAAACAUCAUGUUAUACACCAUACAUAUAUACAAUUUUUCACUUUGCCAAUUAGAAAUAAAAAUUAUUCAUAUAAAAUAAAAAUAAAAAAAUAAAAUUCAAAUUCAUAACCCAAAUUUCCCUAGACCUCUGCUUCCUCUGCAUAUAACAUGUUUGAGUCUCGCCUAAACUCAAAUUGGACCUCCACAGUCUUAGCAAAACUCUUCUAGAAAGUGCAAUAAUAUUUCUUAAUAAUCUGUCCCAGGUUAUCACUUUCCAUAAGAAUAUCCUUUUUUGAGUUCUCCUUGAAACCAUAGUUCAAAACAAAUGUGUUUGUUCUUGCAUUAUUUUUGGUAGAGAGAAGAACUAUGUGAUAAGAUAAACCUUAAGAUAAAUCCAUGUCUAUUGGGGAUAAAAGUUUUAAGUUAUUCUGCUCUUCACAAAAUAACCCUAGUUCCUCUAAUCUUAAAGGUUUUAGCUUUCAACUUUUAGUUAUUUGAAUUUUGGGGGAAAGAUCUCACAUCAAUUUCUCCAUGUUAAGAUUUAAAUCACCAAACUGGAAGUUAAGUUUUUUUUCUUUUUUGACAGAGUCUAGCUCUGUCGCCCAGGCUGGAGUGCAGUGGUGCGAUCUGGGCUCACUGCCAGCUCCGCCUCCGGGGUUCACGCCAUUCUCCUGCCUCAGCCUCCCCAGUAGCUGGGAGUACAGGCGCCCACCACCACGUCCGGCUAAUUUUUUGUAUUUUUAGUAGAGACGGGGUUUCACCGUGUUAGCCAGGAUGGUCUCGAUCUCCCGACCUCAUAAUCCGCCCGCCUCGGCUUCCCAAAGUGCUGGGAUUACAGGCGUGAGCCACUGCGCCGUGCCUGGAAAUGAAUUUUUUACACACCAAGUGAAAAUAAGUGGUAUACAUUUUCACAGGUAAUUUUCCCACAAUAAAAUUUCUACAUAGAAGUUCAAGUCCUUGUGCCUGAGCUCCUUAGAUUAAAAAGCAUAGCAGUUAUUUAACACUCUUUUAAAAAAGAAAGUAUGAAGACAUGGUGAAACUAUUUUGCUUAUCACAUUGACAUUCCUUUGAGAAGAAAGAAAGAAAAUGACAUGUGGUUGGGAAUUCUUCAUUUUAGCUCUAUAGAGAUUUUUAAAAAUGUUUUGACUUUCAAAGGCGCUUUUAUAGAGCUAUAAAAUUGCCUGUCUCCUCUCCAGGCUAUGCUGUACACAAAUGCAGUUCUAAUUUUUAUCGAAUGCUACUUUGAUCAUUCAGCUGCUUGGUCAAAAUCAAUAAUGACUUAUGGUGUUUCAGAUCAUGUCUAUACUUUUCAAGACCCUUAAUAAUCUGCCUCCAUCCUACCUAUCCUACAUUCUAUUUCACAUUUCCCUAUAAUAAUCUUUGUUAUUACCUUACUGCCUUUCUCUGUCCCUGUCAACUGCAACACGUAUGGGUUUGUAUAUAAAACAUGCACACACACACACACAUACACACACACACACAUUUCAUGCAUAUUCUGGCCUUGGGACUUUUACUUAUGCGUUUUUCCUUUUCUGAUGUCUACGUAUGUAUAUUUUUUCUCUUAGCAACAUCUGAACUUCUUUAAAAGUCACCACAAAUUCUACUUUCUUCCAAGAAGCUCCCCGAUGACCGUAACCUACAUUAUCCAUCCACUUUUUUUUUUUUUUUUUUGGUAGGGUCUUGCUCUGUUUCCCAGGCUAGAGUGCAGUGGUGUGAUCACAGCUCACUGCAGCCUUGGCCUCCUGGGCUCAAGCAAUCCUCCCACCUCAGCCUCCCAAGUAGCUGGAACCACAGGCUCAUGCCACCAUGCCCAGCUAAUUUUUAUUUAUUUAUUUUUUUCAUUUAUGUUGUAGAGAUAAGAUCUUGCUGUGUUGCCCAGGCUGGUCUCAAAACUCCUGGCUCAAAUGAUCCUCCCACUUCGGCCUCCCAAAGUGCUGGGAUUAAAGGCAUGAGCCACCACUCCUAGGCCACUUUCUUAUUCCUGUUACUUAUUUAGGGUGACACUGUCCAAGACUUGCCUAAAUACCACUUUAUAGUGUUUCUUUUUUAAUGAACAUAUAAACUGUGUUGUGAUUUUUUGUUUGUUUGUUUGUUUUUAUUAUUAUCAUUAUACUUUAAGUUUUAGGGUACAUGUGCACAAUGUGCAGGUUAGUUACAUAUGUAUACAUGUGCCAUGCUGGUGUGCUGCACCCAUUAACUCGUCAUUUAGCAUUAGGUAUAUCUCCUAAUGCUAUCCCUCCCCCCUCCCCCCAC